rnacentral:lncRNA from 1 species
GUGACAUUAAUGCGAGCCCAGUAAUCACUCAGAGAGAAGAGCUAAGCCCAAGGGUGACUUCAGUCUGAGACAUGGCCAAGUGUCAUAGAAAGUGGAAAAACUGAAUCAACUGUAUAUUUCUCCAGAUAUCACAUGAUCCUUUGUGUUGGGACCUACGACUGGAAUUCACUGGGAACUAAAUUUCUCCAAGUACUAUGUGUUCCCCUUUGCUGGAAAAGACUGAGUGGAUGAAGACCCAAGUUCUGGAGGCCAAAAGUCGGCAGGGCCACACUCUCCCCAGAGCUUCUAGGAGACACCCUGUUCCUUGCCUCUUCCAGCUUCUAGUGGCUGUCAGCAUUCCUUGGCUUGUGGUUGCAUCUUGUCAUAUCGUCUUUUCCUCUGUGUGUCUGUCUCUAA